UACGUAGGGUGCGAGCGUUGUCCGGAAUUAUUGGGCGUAAAGAGCUCGUAGGCGGUUCGUCGCGUCGAAUGUGAAAACCCGGGGCUCAACUCCGGGCCUGCAUUCGAUACGGGCGGACUAGAGUUCGGUAGGGGAGACUGGAAUUCCUGGUGUAGCGGUGAAAUGCGCAGAUAUCAGGAGGAACACCGGUGGCGAAGGCGGGUCUCUGGGCAUUAACUGACGCUGAGGAGCGAAAGCAUGGGGAGCGAACAGG
rnacentral:rRNA from 1 species